rnacentral:rRNA from 1 species
ACGACUCUCGGCAACGGAUAUCUCGGCUCUCGCAUCGAUGAAGAACGUAGCGAAAUGCGAUACCUGGUGUGAAUUGCAGAAUCCCGUGAACCAUCGAGUCUUUGAACGCAAGUUGCGCCCGAGGCCACUCGGCCGAGGGCACGCCUGCCUGGGCGUCACGC